UGGCUUCCAAGUCCUUGGCUUCCACAUCCCUCCUCCUCGCUCUCAACCUCCUGUUCUUCACCUUGGUCUCUUCCACAAGUGUCCCCUGCCCACCACCUCCUUCUAAGCCUACGCCCACUCCCUCACCUUCUUCUGGAUCAAAAUGCCCCAUCAACACACUCAAGCUCGGUGUGUGCGCUAAGGUUCUUAACGGCCUGAUCAACGUCUCUCUCGGCAAGCCACCAAAGAAGC
rnacentral:lncRNA from 1 species